GCUUGGAGCUAAUUCUUGGCAGUCCAACUUAUCUUCAAUGAACUGUCCAGGGCGCUUCUCUUGAGGUCCUCAGACUAUUGGUGUUAACACAUUAGAGGCAUUGCUGCAACGAGUCCUGCUUCGGGGCUGAGCUGAGUGAUGUCAGUGGAAAUGUAGGCGUUAUACACUGCAGAAACUUGUCCUGCGGGGCCCCGGGGAUCACAGUGUCACAGAGAACUGCCAGUGGACAGGAGCAGCGCCUGGGGGAAGGUGAGAGAGAAGUGGUCAGCCCUGUGCUAGUGUGUGAGCGGGACGGCUACAGAGGGGGCAGUCCGCUUAUUGGGUCGAUUGUUGUACAGAGUGCUAUUUAUCGUAUCUCCACAAUUCUGAGAGAAAUAUUGUUUCCGACAAGAUGGGUUUCUGGGUACCAUACUACAUAGUUUUGUUUCCACUCUUACUACUUUCCACCAGAUUGGUGGCCCAAAGAAACAAAGAAGUAAUUGAAAUCAUGGAAUCUGCGCCUUUAAUCGAUGGCCACAAUGAUUUAGCACUACAACUGAGAAGACACUUUAACAACAACCUGACUGCAGUUGACUUGAAAACUUUGAACAAGACAUAUACAAAUAUUAACAAACUAAAAGAAGGAAAUGUAGGA